rnacentral:rRNA from 1 species
UGGGGAAUUUUGGACAAUGGGCGAAAGCCUGAUCCAGCAAUGCCGCGUGUGUGAAGAAGGCCUUCGGGUUGUAAAGCACUUUUGUCCGGAAAGAAAUCCUUGGCUCUAAUACAGUCGGGGGAUGACGGUACCGGAAGAAUAAGCACCGGCUAACUACGUGCCAGCAGCCGCGGUAAUACGUAGGGUGCAAGCGUUAAUCGGAAUUACUGGGCGUAAAGCGUGCGCAGGCGGUUUGCUAAGACCGAUGUGAAAUCCCCGGGCUCAACCUGGGAACUGCAUUGGUGACUGGCAGGCUAGAGUAUGGCAGAGGGGGGUAGAAUUCCACGUGUAGCAGUGAAAUGCGUAGAGAUGUGGAGGAAUACCGAUGGCGAAGGCAGCCCCCUGGGCAAUACUGACGCUCAUGCACGAAAGCGUGGGGAGCAAACAGGAUUAGAUACCCUGGUAGUCCACGCCCUAAACGAUGUCAACUAGUUGUUGGGGAUCAUUCCUUAGUAACGUAGCUAACGCGUGAAGUUGACCGCCUGGGGAGUACGGUCGCAAGAUUAAAAACUUAAAUGAAUUGACGGGGUCAUAGCUGUUUCCU